AUCAUAUCUGAAACGACUCUCGGCAACGGAUAUCUCGGCUCUCGCAUCGAUGAAGAACGUAGCGAAAUGCGAUACUUGGUGUGAAUUGCAGAAUCCCGUGAACCAUCGAGUUUUUGAACACAAGUUGCGCCCGAAGCCGUCAGGCCGAGGGCACGUCUGCC
rnacentral:rRNA from 1 species